CCUACGGGUGGCUGCAGUAGGGAAUUUUGCGCAAUGGGAGAAACCCUGACGCAGCAACGCCGCGUGAUCGAUGAAGCCCUUCGGGGUGUAAAGAUCUGUCAGUGGGGACGAAACCUGACGGUACCCACAGAUGAAGCACCGGCUAACUCCGUGCCAGCAGCCGCGGUAAUACGGGGGGUGCAAGCGUUGUCCGGAAACAUUGGGCGGAAAGUGUUCGUAGGGGGUAAGUUAAGUCUGGUGGUAAAGGCGGAAGCUCAACUUCCGUAGGGCACUGGAUACUGGCGAGCGUGAAUGCGGUAGAGGUAAAGGGAAUUCCAGGUGUAGCGGUGAAAUGCGUAGAUAUCAGGAGGAACAUCGGAGGCGUAAGCGCUUUACUGGGCCGUAAUUGACACUGAGGAACGAAAGCCGGGGUAGCAAAUGGGAUUAGAUACCCCUGUAGUC
rnacentral:rRNA from 1 species